UACAGAGGGGGCAAGCGUUAUUCGGAAUUAUUGGGCGUAAAGGGCGCGUAGGCGGCCUGGCAAGUGGAUGGUGAAAUCCCUCGGCUUAACCGAGGAACUGCCAUCCAGACUGCUUGGCUUGAGACCGGGAGAGGUGAGUGGAAUUCCCAGUGUAGCGGUGAAAUGCGCAGAUAUCAGGAGGAACACCAAUUGCGAAGGCAGCUCGCUGGAACGUAACUGACGCUGAGACGCGAAAGCGUGGGGAGCAAACAGG
rnacentral:rRNA from 1 species